GACAAGGAACUGAUCGUGCCCUAGCUGUGAUCUUUGAGCUCGGUUGGAUCGAUCUCUUCAUCAGAUCUGUGAUUACCUCCGACGAUUGAAGGGUGAAGAGGACCUUGAUCUAUACGAGCAGCGUGACGUGGGGUGG